CUAUGGCAUUUUCACGUUCUGACGGGGGGUGAACCUAAAAUGUAUUGAUGCUUAUGCUGUACUGGAGUGAGCAAAUGAUAUGAAAUUGCAUGUAUUUGCCACCAAACACAAGGCCAACACAUACAGUGAAAAAUUAAUUCACUCUGAUGACUGUGUCCCGAUUUAGAGUUGACCCCCCAUCAAAUUUAUGACGUCAUAUGAAACACAAUAAUAUACAGUAUAAUAUUACAGCUAAUUGUAGCAGAAAGUAUUUAA